rnacentral:misc_RNA from 1 species
GAUUAAGAACGCAGCGAAAUGCGAUACGUAAUGUGAAUUGCAAAUUCAGUGAAUCAUCGAGUCUUUGAACGCACAUUGCGCCCCCUGGUAUUCCGGGGGGCAUGCCUGUCCGAGCGUCAUUGCUGCCCUCAAGCACGGCUUGUGUGUUGGGCCCCGUCCUCCGAUCCCGGGGGACGGGCCCGAAAGGCAGCGGCGGCACCGCGUCCGGUCCUCGAGCGUAUGGGGCUUUGUCACCCGCUCUGUAGGCCCGGCCGGCGCUUGCCGAUCAACCCAAAUUUUUAUCCAGGUUGACCUCGGAUCAGGUAGGGAUACCCGCUGAACUUAAGCAUAUCAAUAAGCGGAGGA